rnacentral:rRNA from 1 species
AGCGGCGGACGGGUGAGUAACACGUGGGUAACCUGCCCAAGAGACUGGGAUAACACCUGGAAACAGAUGCUAAUACCGGAUAACAACACUAGACGCAUGUCUAGAGUUUGAAAGAUGGUUCUGCUAUCACUCUUGGAUGGACCUGCGGUGCAUUAGCUAGUUGGUAAGGUAACGGCUUACCAAGGCAAUGAUGCAUAGCCGAGUUGAGAGACUGAUCGGCCACAUUGGGACUGAGACACGGCCCAAACUCCUACAGGAGGCAGCAGUAGGGAAUCUUCCACAAUGGACGAAAGUCUGAUGGAGCAACGCCGCGUGAGUGAAGAAGGGUUUCGGCUCGUAAAGCUCUGUUGGUAGUGAAGAAAGAUAGAGGUAGUAACUGGCCUUUAUUUGACGGUAAUUACUUAGAAAGUCACGGCUAACUACGUGCCAGCAGCCGCGGUAAUACGUAGGUGGCAAGCGUUGUCCGGAUUUAUUGGGCGUAAAGCGAGUGCAGGCGGUUCAAUAGGUCUGAUGUGAAAGCCUUCGGCUCAACCGGAGAAUUGCAUCAGAAACUGUUGAACUUGAGUGCAGAAGAGGAGAGUGGAACUCCAUGUGUAGCGGUGGAAUGCGUAGAUAUAUGGAAGAACACCAGUGGCGAAGGCGGCUCUCUGGUCUGCAACUGACGCUGAGGCUCGAAAGCAUGGGUAGCGAACAGGAUUAGAUACCCUGGUAGUCCAUGCCGUAAACGAUGAGUGCUAAGUGU